AUACUUACCUGGCAGGGGAGACACCAUGUUCACAAGGUGGUUUUCCCAGGAUGAGGCUCAUCCAUUGCACUCCNGGUGUGCUGACCCCUGCGAUUUCUCCAAAUGCGGGAAACUNGACUGCAUAAUUUGUGGUAGUGGAGGAACUGUGUUUGCGCUUUCCCCUA
rnacentral:snRNA from 1 species